CAGGUCUAAACCAGGUCUAAACUAGAUCCAAACCAGGUCUAAACCAGGUCUAAACUAUGUCUUAAACAGAAUUUAACAGGACUAAAUCCUGCUGUGUGGACGUGUUUCUUCUUCUAUCAAUAAUAUUUUUAAUUUGUUUAAAUAAAGUCUGGGCUUUUUAUUUUCUUUUAUCAGACAAAACAUCUCAUGUGAAGAUUUCCUCGUCUUUGUUUCUCUACAGCAAAUCAAGUAAUCCAAAGUUUCAGAUUACAUUACUCACUUUUAGUAAUUUAAUGGAUUACGUUACAAACUACAUUUUGGUGCAUGUAAUCUGUAAUCUGUAGGGGAUUACAUUUUAAAAGUAAACUUCCCAACACUGUCCAGGUUUGUUUUUGAAGAGAUAAUAACAUUAUAACGUCAUUUAAAGCUCACAUGGGUCAGUUUUCUGUAAUAUCAGACUAAAAUGAAAAAUAACUUAAAUUAAAAAUAGUCAUAUGCACUUUUACUGCCUGUCUUCCACAGAAUUAGCAUUAUUUUAUUUUUUUUUUAUGUGUAUUUUAAUCUUUUUUUUUUUUUAUGGGUCACUUCCCACUGUCACCAGCAGAGGGCGCACACACACUAACCCUGACCACCGUGUCUCCUUUAAGCUCCGUACGCUUUGUUAGAUUUUAUACCUUUUACUAAAUUAAAACCAUUAAAUUAUUGCGCAACAAACUUCGCUGUCUCUUCGUCACUAAAGCAACACUACGGAAUAUUUUUCUGGAAAUUCCGAUUUAUUUUUGCGAAACGGGGAAGUCGUUGAUUCUUUCUAAACGUAAAAACCAAAUUCUGUACAUUUAAAGUUUAAGUUUAAAGUUACACAUUGUGUAACUUUUCAAGCGAUUUAUCUCCAUGGAGAUGGCAUCGCUUUGUCGGGAAUGUUUCAGAGUGUGGUUUUAAAUUGUUCAGUCGCCACGGAAACCAAAGCAGACCGAGUUACAGGUCAGAUCUGUGGAGCGGCGUGGGUCUUUUUGAGCAAAUUUUUGAAUAAAUGUAAAGUUGGAGAUGUUUAAUGUCACACUGCGGAACAUUCUAAGCAGAGAAAUGACGUCUCCAUGGAAACGAGCAGAAGAAAAGAAAAGUUACGCGAUGCACCUUUAACUUUAACAUGAUUUAAUUCUGCUUUUUUUUUCUGAAUGUUGCUUUAAAAUAAUAAUUCUGUGAUGUUGAUGUUUAAAAAUGGAGAAAUGUGUUUUGUAUUUUUUAGAAGAAAAGGACCAAGAUACUGGAAAAAACAUUCCUCUGAGAUAAAUGUGGAUUUUCUUUGUAUUUGUCGAAUGUUUCUGAACCUGUUUACAACAUGUCACUGCUCAAAUAAACUCAUUUGGUAUUUUUUCA